UCUCCUGGAAACGGGUGGUAAUGCCGGAUGCUCCAGUUGAUCGCAUGGUCUUCUGGGAAAGCUUUCGCGGUAUGGGAUGGGGUCGCGUCCUAUCAGCUUGACGGCGGGGUAACGGCCCACCGUGGCUUCGACGGGUAGCCGGCCUGAGAGGGCGACCGGCCACAUUGGGACUGAGAUACGGCCCAGACUCCUACGGGAGGCAGCAGUGGGGAAUAUUGCACAAUGGGCGCAAGCCUGAUGCAGCGACGCCGCGUGAGGGAUGGAGGCCUUCGGGUUGUAAACCUCUUUUAUCGGGGAGCAAGCGAGAGUGAGUUUACCCGUUGAAUAAGCACCGGCUAACUACGUGCCAGCAGCCGCGGUAAUACGUAGGGUGCAAGCGUUAUCCGGAAUUAUUGGGCGUAAAGGGCUCGUAGGCGGUUCGUCGCGUCCGGUGUGAAAGUCCAUCGCUUAACGGUGGAUCCGCGCCGGGUACGGGCGGGCUUGAGUGCGGUAGGGGAGACUGGAAUUCCCGGUGUAACGGUGGAAUGUGUAGAUAUCGGGAAGAACACCACGC
rnacentral:rRNA from 1 species